rnacentral:lncRNA from 1 species
AAACCUAUCACCAAGGCAAUGGAGUUACAAGGCAGGGCCUUUGGGAGGUGAUUAAUGUCCUUAAAAAAGAGGCUGCAGAGAACAUUUGUCUUUUUUUUUUUUUUUUUUUUUUUUUUUUUGCCUUUCCACUCUUCCACCUUGUGAGGACACAGCAACAAGCUGCCCUCUUGGAAGCAGAAAGCAGCUCUCACCAGACAUCAAAUCUGCCAGCACAUUGAUCUUGGACUUCCCACCCUUCAGAACUGAGAUCUCAUCAGAGGUGCCUGAAAAGCACCUCAGCCGAAGGCCUCACAUAGAGAGACCUAAGAAUGAAGGCACCUGGACUAGGAAUGUGAAUAUGUGAAAGAACAUGACCGGCCAGGGGCCCUGAGUUAUUGAAUGCAACCCCCUUCAGACACUGCAACACACAGGCUGUGCACCAAGCCUAGUAUGGGAAGGACAGCUUUUCUUCAUGAGGCCUGCCAGGUAAAGCCAGCUAUGAAACAGGAAGUUGACCUUCACCAGACACUGAACCUACUGGCACCUUGAUCUUGGACUUCCCAGCCUUACAAACUGUAAGAAAUAAAUGUCUGUUGUUCAUAAGCCACAUAGUUUGUGAUAGUUUGUUAUGGCCACCUGAACAGACUUAGGCAGGGUGCCUCAUUAUAACCUGGCAAGGGUGUAAAUUUAGGUGGUUCCCU